UACAGAGGUCUCGAGCGUUGUUCGGAUUCAUUGGGCGUAAAGGGUGCGCAGGUGGGUUUGCAAGUUUGAUGUGAAAGCCCCGGGCUUAACCCGGGAAUGGCAUUGAAUACUGCAGAUCUGGAGGAUUGGAGGGGGGACUGGAAUUCUUGGUGUAGCAGUGAAAUGCGUAGAUAUCAAGAGGAACACCAGUGGCGAAGGCGAGUCCCUGGACAAUACCUGACACUGAGGCACGAAAGCCAAGGGAGCAAACAGG
rnacentral:rRNA from 1 species